rnacentral:lncRNA from 1 species
CUGUUGGAACCUACUUCUCCAGAAGACCAGCUGAAACAACUAGCCUCGGGGACUGAGCAACUACUAGAUUCUUGGACUUCCCAUUACGGCUGCCCAUUGUUGGGUUAGUUGAACUGCAAACUUCAGCGAAGGACAGGGCGAUGGAGCCGCGGAAAGAAGAGCAUUGUAAGCCCUCGGCGGAGUGUGAGGUCUUCUCUUUUUCUUGAUUACACCCUAGAUAUUCAUUUUAAGCCAAAUCCACCUAUAUUAAAAUAUCAAGUUGAAAGGGAUGGCCCAAAGAUUUUUCAUGAAUACAGAUUAAGAGGCACUAUCAUUCCUUUGUCUGUGUCAACUUAACAAAACUCUAAUUAGUCUUCUUAUAAUGUUUUAGUGACCCUGGACUUAAAAGGUUGUCAUCCAUUCUACAACAGAGUAUUAGUGAUAUUUGAAGAGCAUAACUCUGACACUUGACAUUAAAUAUGAGAAGUAUUGAGGCCGAACACAAAGGAACAGGGG